rnacentral:rRNA from 1 species
UCUUAGUUGGUGGAGCGAUUUGUCUGGUUAAUUCCGAUAACGAACGAGACCUCAGCCUGCUAACUAGCUACGCGGAGGUUCCCCUUCGCGGCCAGCUUCUUAGAGGGACUAUGGCCGUUUAGGCCAUGGAAGUUUGAGGCAAUAACAGGUCUGUGAUGCCCUUAGAUGUCCUGGGCCGCACGCGUGCUACACUGAUACGUACAACGAGGUAUAUGCAUUUAUGCAUCUUUGCUGCUCCGAAAUAGACACAGCUAAAUCUUCUAAAAUACGUAUCGUGCUGCGGAUAGAUCGUUGAAAUUAUGGAUCUUGAAGGUGGAAUUCCUAGUAAGCGCAGGUCAUCAACCUGCGUUGAUUACGUCCCUGCCCUUUGUACACACCGCCCGUCGCUCCUACCGAUUGAAUGAUCCGGUGAAGUGUUCGGAUUGCGUCGACGAUGGUGGUUCGCCGCCGUCGACGUCGUGAGAAGUUCAUUGAACCUUAUCAUUUAGAGGAAGGAGAAGUCGUAACAAGGUUUCCGUAGGUGAACCUGCGGAAGGAUCAAU